rnacentral:rRNA from 1 species
GGAAGGGAACCCGGGGAACUGAAACAUCUAAGUACCCGGAGGAAAAGAAAGAAAACUCGAUUCCGUAAGUAGCGGCGAGCGAACGCGGAGGAGCCUAAACCGGAAUGCGUGCAUUCCGGGGUUACGGACUGCAUUUAAGAUUCUUUGAAGCUAACAGAACGGUUUUGGGAAAGCCGGCCGGAGAGGGUGAAAGCCCCGUACGUGAAAGCUGAUGAGACUGAGCAGGAUCCAGAGUACCACGAGACACGUGGAACCUUGUGGGAAAUCAGGGGGACCACCCCCUAAGGCUAAAUACUACUUAGUGACCGAUAGCGCAUAGUACUGUGAAGGAAAGGUGAAAAGGACCCCGGGAGGGGAGUGAAAGAGAACCUGAAACCCUGUGUCUACAAGCUGUGGAAG